GGAUGUGAGGGCAAUCUGGCUGCGACAUCUGUCACCCCAUUGAUCGCCAGGGUUGAUUUGGCUGAUCUGGCUGGCUAGGCGGGUGUCCCCCUCCUCCCUCACUGAUCCAUGUGUUCCUUCCCAAAGCUGCGCGCUUGGUCGAAGAGGACGACCUUCCCCCCAGAGGAGAGGACCGGUCUUCGGUCAAGGCUAUACAAGUAGCUGUGCUCCCCUGAUAGAACCUCCAAACAAGCUCUCAAAGAAUAUUGUUAGGGAACCCAGUUGAGUCUUCUAAGAGGUAAAGUAGGUACUCUGGUUAGAGUCAAUAAUGUCUCUCAGU
rnacentral:snRNA from 1 species